rnacentral:rRNA from 1 species
AUGAACUCCCCCGAUCCUCUGAUUUUAGUGGGCGAUUUCAACUUGAUUGCUGCUGCUGCUGACAAAAGCAAUGGUAAUAUCAAUAGAGGGUUGAUCAAUGCAUUCAGAAACUUUAUGAACCGGUUGGAGCUCAAGGACAUGUAUUUGCAUGGUAGGAGAUAUACUUGGAGCAAUGAGCAACUGCACACUAUCCUGGUCAGGCUCGACAGGGUUCUUUAUAAUCAACCUUGGAAUGAACUUUUCCCCAAUGCUCUGUUACAAGGCCUUUCCUCCGCUGAUUCAGAUCAUUGUCCACUCCUGCUUUCAAGUAAUGCUCUGUUCAAGCCACAGAGAAGAUUCAUGUUUGAAAAUAUGUGGGUACGGCUAGAGGGGUUCAAUGAAGUUGUUACUGCAGCUUGGGAUAGGGCUACUAAGUCGAGCAAUCCGUACACCAAUUUGCAUAACAAAUUGUCCUUCACUGCCAAGAAGCUCAAGUCUUGGGCUUCCUCUCUGCUAAGUGAUAUUCAGUUAAGGACCAGAAUUGUCCACGAACUUAUCUUACAGCUGGAUAUUGCUAGAGAUAACAGGAUGCUCACCCCCGAAGAGCACACUUUCAGAGGCAAGUUAAAGAUGAUGAGCCUCGGCUUUGCUGCCUUGGACAGAUGUAUGUUUCGUCAACGUUCCAGAUUUCUCAGGCUCAAGGAGGGAGACUGCAACUCUCGGUUUUUUCACUUGAAGGCCACUGCUAGAAGAAGGAAAAAUUUCAUUACUUCUAUCUUAGUUCAAGACACCGAAUAUACUGACCAGCAAAACAAAGAGGAGCAUAUCUGGCAACAUUUUAAUGAUCUUCUUGGCACUUAUCAACCCAGGAACUCUUCUUUAAACCUCGAAGCUCUUGACCUCCCUACCUGUGAUCUAGCUUCCCUUGACCUUGCAUUUUCGGAGGAGGAAAUCAAAAAGGCUAUUUUUGAUAUGCACCCAGAGAAGGCCCCUGGUCCUGAUGGUUACACUGGCCUCUUCUUUCGCACCUGUUGGGAUACUGUCAAAUAUGACUUGAUUGCUGCUUUGAGACACUUCCAAGGGCUGAACACGCAAAACUUAUUUCUGCUUAAUAGUGCUGUUAUUGCGUUGCUUCCAAAGCACCAGGGUGCUGUUAGGCCUCAAGAUUUUAGGCCCAUUAGCCUAAUCCACUUCUUCGCAAAAUUAAUUGCCAAGAUGAUGGCUGCCAGACUACAACCAUGGAUGAACAAGCUAACCUCCCCAUGUCAGAAUGCAUUCAUUAAAGGGCGAAGCAUACAUGAUAAUUUUGUCUAUGUUCAGGCAAUGGCUAAGACCCUAAGACAGAAAAAAAUCCCCUCUGUUAUGCUUAAGUUGGAUAUAACCAAAGCCUUUGAUUCAGUUUCAUGGGAGUUUCUGCUUAAGCUACUGCAAGGUCUGGGUUUUGGGCCGAAGUGGAGAGGAUGGAUAUCGGCCCUCUUUUUCUCUGCUUCCACAAGAAUAUUAGUCAACUCCAAAUGCACUCAACAAAUCCUCCAUCGUAAGGGCCUCAGGCAAGGAGAUCCCCUCUCCCCGCUGCUCUUUGUGCUUGUGGUGGACUGCCUUGGCAGGUUGAUGGACAAAGCACAAAGGAACAACAUCCUAUCCCCUCUGGGUAACCAACUUGUUAAACACCGUGCAUCUAUUUACGCAGACGAUGUCAUCAUUUUCCUCAAGCCUGAGAUGCAUGAUUUUGGGGUUGUAACUGAAGUGCUGAAGCUUUUUGGUGAAGCAACCGGUCUCAUCACUAACCUGGCUAAAAGCAAGAUCCUUCCUAUUCGGUGUGACGACCUUGACCUUACUCCCCUGCAGCUGGCUCUUGGAUGCCAGUUGGCUAGCUUCCCCUGCACUUACCUUGGGAUGCCUCUAUCUGAUAGGCGGUUGAAGCUCAUUGACUUCCAAGACCUGCUUGACAAGUUAAUUAAGAAGAUUGCGGGUUGGAAGGCUAGGUGGAUCUCCUCCACUGGAAGAAUGGUACUCGUGAGGUUUGUACUUUCGGCAAUGCCAAUUUUCAUGCUUCUGGCUGUUCAUCAACCGAAAUGGGUCAUCAAGCAAAUCGAUAAGCUACGUCGUGCUUUUUUAUGGUCUGGCUCUGAUGCUGUCUGCGGUGGCAAGUGCCUUGUCCGCUGGACCCAGGUGUGCUCACCCAUCUCUGUAGGCGGGCUUGGCAUCCAUGACCUUCAAGCUCAGGGGCGGGCGCUUAAAGUACGCUGGCUUUGGCAAAGCAUCACAGAUCCGGAUAAACCAUGGCAAGGUCUGCAGCUCCCUGUUGACAAGCACGUUAAGGCUCUUUUCAUUGCUUGUACCUCCAUCAAAAUUGGUAGUGGUAUUAAGAUAUCCUUUUGGCACGAUCACUGGCUCAACGGUGAGAUUCCAGCUGUUUCGUUUCCUAACCUUUUCAAGCAUAGCAAAAACAGAAGAAUAUCGUUGGCUGAAGGACUCACCAAUAGAAAAUGGGUCACUCUUCUCAAGCGCAACCCGGGCACCGAGGUGUUGCGCGAAUACAUUGACUUCUGGCACAGAUCCAGUGUGGUCACUUUCUCCAACCUGGAGGAUGAGUUCAUUUGGAAAUGGUCAGCGGAUGGAAGAUAUAAUGCUAAGUCAGCUUACCCAUGUCAAUUCUGGGGCAGGAUUGAUUCUCCUCUUCCUGAGAUCAUUUGGCAUAUCAAGGUUCCACCAAGAAUAAGAUUCUUCAGUUGGCUCUUUGUACAGGGCAAAUGUUUGACUGCGGACAACCUUGCGAAGCGAGGUUGGCCUCACAACCCGAUCUGUCAAUUAUGCCACUUAGGGUGGGAGGAUGGUCUGCACCUUGUAUCUAGUUGCCCCUUCACGGCUGGUAUUUGGGGCUAUUGCCUGGCAAUAUAUAAUUUUCCAUUCAACCUCUUACCUAUUGCUCAUACUGGCUCUAUAUUGGACUGGUGGUUAAAGGCUCUGGAUGGUACAGGCAGGAAAAAGGACCUAUCAUCACUUAUAAUGACGGUGUCCUGGCAGGUUUGGAAAGAAAGAAACAGCCGCAUAUUCAACAACAAGGCAAACCACUUCCUGAAGGUCGCUGAGAACAUUAUCAAUGAGCUGAAUUCUUGGAGAAUCGCUGGAUUCAAAGGAGCACAAUGGACAGGCGCGAGAUAA